rnacentral:lncRNA from 1 species
GCAGUAGCAGACUCCAGGGUGGCAUGUAUUGCCACCUUGCUAAGGAGAAAGUGGUCCAUCCCUGGGACCUGGCAGUGCAUGGGCCUCCCUGCCACUAUACGCACUUGGUGGUUCUCAGAAAUCUGUAACACAACGUUGUUGUCGAGCACAUACAGAGAGUUGUCCAUCGGGUUUACUGCCAGAUCCGUAGGCCAUUCAAGACGAACCUGAGAAAUGUCCAUGACAGAGUCACAGCUGAGAGGCCGAGCAGAUGUCAAGUCAUUGGAACCCAACACUGUUGAGAUGAUCCCAUUCUGAUCGAUCCGCCUGAUCAUAGUGCCAUCUACAAAGUAAA